rnacentral:rRNA from 1 species
UACGUAGGGGGCAAGCGUUGUCCGGAAUUAUUGGGCGUAAAGAGCGUGUAGGCGGUCCGGUAAGUCCGCUGUGAAAGUCCAGGGCUCAACCCUGGAAUGCCGGUGGAUACUGUCGGGCUAGAGUCCGGAAGAGGCGAGUGGAAUUCCUGGUGUAGCGGUGAAAUGCGCAGAUAUCAGGAGGAACACCGAUGGCGAAGGCAGCUCGCUGGGACGGUACUGACGCUGAGACGCGAAAGCGUGGGGAGCAAACAGG